AUCAUUUCAACUUCAACCUACAAACAUACUAAAAUUCAAUGUGCCAUUAUCUAAUAAUCUAACAGCACUAAUGCAAUCACUACUCUCAAUUCAUGCAAUCAAUUCAACUAGGCAUAAACAAACAGAAAGUCGCACAAGUGAACUAAACACAAAAUAGAUAACGAGAAAAAUCAGAAGGCAAAUAAUGUGCUAGAUAUAAGAUAACAAUCAAAACAUACUUCAGGGGUUACUAAUAGGCGACCAUAUCAUAAUUACUCGACAGAGAUAAUGACAAGAAAAACAUACUUCAGAGACUAAUUAAUAGUCUUCAAAAUCUCCUCACAUUUAAUACCACAAUGCCAGUCUAAAACAUUAAGGUAGGUAAAGCAGAAGCUAGAUAUAGAUAAGCAGCUCCAUGGACAGGAAAUGAAGCCACGAACAACCAGAGCGAUCUUGCAAAUUUGCGACCCAGCAAAGCAAUCGCUCAACGGUAAGACUUUUGGAACCUGGCGCGGGCUCCACGACCACCGAACUUCUUGGGCUCGCAGCGCCUGGGGUCGGCGACGAGGAGUGUGCGGUCGUAGCGAGAGAAGAUGUCCUUGACCUCCUUCUUGGCGGCCUCGUCGACGUACUUCUGGUAGUAGGCGACGAGCCCCUUGGCGACGGCCUGGCGGAUGGCGUAGAUCUGCGACGUCUUCCCGCCGCCGCGGACGCGGAUCCGCAUGUCGAUGUCCUUGAACCUCGACCGGCCGGCCAGCAGGAUGGGCUCGAAGGCCUUGAGGCGGAGCAUCUCCGGGCGGAUCAGCUCGAUCGGGACGCCGUUCACCUUGAUCAGCCCGCGCCCCGGCUUCGUGUACGCCACGGCCACGGCGGUCUUCUUCCGCCCGAAGCACUGGACCGUGCCCGGGGUAGGGCGGCUCAGCACGGACAUGGUUG
rnacentral:lncRNA from 1 species